rnacentral:rRNA from 1 species
GUGAGGAAUAUUGCCCAAUGGGGGGAACCCUGAGGCAGCAACGCCGCGUGAGGGAUGAAGGCCUUCGGGUUGUAAACCUCUUUUCUGAGGGAAGAGGAAGGACGGUACCUCAGGAAUAAGUCUCGGCUAACUACGUGCCAGCAGCCGCGGUAAAACGUAGGAGGCGAGCGUUAUCCGGAUUUACUGGGCGUAAAGCGCGCGCAGGCGGCUUGACAAGUCGGACGUGAAAGCUCCUGGCUUAACUGGGAGAGGCCGUUCGGAACUGUUGGGCUUGAGGUUGGGAGAGGGGUGUAGAAUUCCCGGUGUAGUGGUGGAAUGCGUAGAUAUCGGGAGGAACACCAGUGGCGAAGGCGGCACCCUGGCCCACACCUGACGCUGAGGUGCGAAAGCGUGGGGAGCAAACAGGAUUAGAAACCCGAGUAGUCC